UACGAAGGGGGCUAGCGUUGCUCGGAAUCACUGGGCGUAAAGGGUGCGUAGGUGGCGAUGAAAGUUCGAUGUGAAAUCUCCGGGCUUAACCCGGGAAAAGGCAUUGAAAACUAUGUUGCUUGAGGUUUGGAGGGGGGACUGGAAUUCUUGGUGUAGCAGUGAAAUGCGUAGAUAUUAGGAAGAACACCAGUGGCGAAGGCGGCUCACUGGCCCGGUACUGGACGCUGAGGCGCGAAAGCGUGGGGAGCAAACAGG
rnacentral:rRNA from 1 species